UGCCCUGUGCCCAAAUAUUUAUAAUAUUAUUUAUACGUGAUUCCUGAACCUCAGAACCUGAUACGGUGAGGUGAGCAGUUGAGACUUGAGAGAGGCGGAGAGCAGAGAAUCAGAGAGAGGCUGAGGCGGUCCAGCCUGAACAGUGGAGACUGGAGACUAGAGACAGGCGGAGAGCAGAGACUAGAGAGAAAGAUUUGCUUAGUUCUCUGCCAGGCACAACACUUGGGUAAUUUACAAGAAGAGUUGCUGGAACAAACUGACAGUUACUGCAAUGGGAAAGAAGCCGGAGGGGACUGGUGCUAAGGCUAGUGGCAAAGACACUUCAAAAGAUGUGAAGAAAGGGAAGCUUUCGGUCUCGGCGAUGCUUGCUAACAUGGAUGAGAAACCUGAGAAACCUAAAAAGGGUUCUUCUUCAAACGCUUCUAGUAAACCCAAGACAAAAGCUCCAAAAGUGUCAUCUUACACUGAGAACAUAGAUCUUCCUCCAUCUGAUGAUGAGGAUGAUGCCUCUGAAGAAGACCUGUCUGAUGCCAAGAAGCGGCAAAUGAGGAAUGAUUCAAAUUCACUUGACAUAGCCAUAAGUGAGAAAGAGUUGAAAAAAAGAGAAAAGAAGGACAUACUUGCUGUCCAUGCAGCAGAGCAGGCAAAACGGGAGGCCCUUAGGGAUGACCAUGAUGCUUUUACUGUUGUUAUUGGUAGCCGGGCUUCAGUUCUUGAUGGGGAUGAUGAAGCUGAUGCCAAUGUCAAAGACAUAACUGUUGAUAAUUUCUCUGUAUCUGCUCGGGGAAAAGAACUCUUAAAGAACACGUCGGUUAAGAUAUCUCAUGGGAAAAGGUAUGGCUUGGUUGGACCCAAUGGAAUGGGCAAGUCUACAUUAUUAAAGCUCCUUGCUUGGAGGAAGAUUCCAGUACCUAAGAAUAUUGAUGUGCUUUUGGUUGAACAAGAGGUGGUUGGUGAUGAUAAAACUGCCCUUGAAGCAGUUGUUACAGCUAAUGAAGAGCUGGUAAAUCUCCGAAAAGAGGUUGAAUCUUUGCAGAAUUCAUCUUCUGUUGCUGAGGGUGAGAAUGGAGAUGAUGAGAAUGGGGAUGAUGCGGGAGAUAAGCUUGCUGAGUUGUAUGAACAGUUGCAUAUCUUGGGAUCAGAUGCAGCAGAGGCUCAGGCAUCAAAGAUUCUUGCUGGGUUGGGUUUCACCAAGGAUAUGCAGGGUCGUCCAACCCGAUCAUUUAGUGGUGGCUGGAGGAUGAGAAUAUCAUUGGCUAGGGCGCUCUUUGUGCAACCAACACUUCUCUUAUUGGAUGAACCCACAAACCAUCUUGACCUUAGGGCUGUUCUCUGGCUGGAGGAGUACUUGUGUCGGUGGAAGAAAACUCUUGUAGUUGUGUCACAUGACCGGGAUUUCCUCAACACUGUCUGCACUGAGAUCAUUCAUCUCCAUGAUUUUAAGCUUCAUUUCUACCGUGGGAAUUUUGAUGAUUUUGAAAGUGGGUAUGAGCAGCGUCGCAAAGAGAUGAACAAGAAGUUUGAAACUUAUGAGAAGCAAAUUAAAGCAGCGAAGAGGUCAGGGAGUAGGGCUCAGCAGGAAAAGGUGAAAGACCGGGCUAAGUUUAAUGCUGCAAAGGAAGCAUCUAAGAGCAAGGCUAAGGGAAAGGUUGAUGAGGAUGAGCCUCUGCCUGAGGCUCCAAAGAAGUGGAGAGAUUAUAGUGUGGAGUUCCACUUCCCUGAACCUACUGAGCUCACACCGCCACUUUUGCAGCUAAUUGAAGUCAGCUUUAGUUACCCAAAUCGAGCGGAUUUUAGGCUCUCGAAUGUCGAUGUAGGUAUUGAUAUGGGAACACGUGUUGCUAUUGUUGGGCCCAAUGGAGCUGGAAAAUCUACCCUACUGAAUCUUCUUGCAGGUGAUUUGGUUCCAACAGAAGGUGAAGUACGAAGGAGUCAAAAGUUAAGGAUUGGGAGGUAUUCACAGCACUUUGUGGACCUACUAACAAUGGAUGAAACGCCAGUUCAGUAUCUUCUUCGUCUUCAUCCAGAUCAAGAGGGACUUAGCAAGCAGGAGGCUGUACGUGCAAAGCUUGGAAAAUUUGGACUCCCUAGUCAUAAUCACCUCACCCCAAUUGCAAAAUUAUCUGGAGGGCAAAAGUCACGGGUUGUCUUCUCUUCAAUUUCCAUGUCGAAGCCACACAUAUUGCUAUUGGAUGAGCCCACAAAUCAUCUGGACAUGCAGAGUAUUGAUGCGCUGGCUGAUGCACUGGAUGAGUUUACUGGUGGAGUUGUCCUUGUCAGUCAUGACUCUAGGCUUAUAUCUCGUGUUUGUGAGGAUGAAGAGAAGAGUGAAAUUUGGGUUGUGGAAAAUGGAACUGUGAGAAAUUUCCCUGGAACCUUUGAGGAGUACAAGGAGGAGUUACAAAGAGAGAUCAAAUCAGAGGUUGAUGAAUGAUUUUACAGCCAUCACAUUAGAUGUUCACCUUACCUCUGCAGUUUUGAUCUCAUGCGAGGUAGUCAACUUCGUUUGUGUUUUUUGGUAUAAAGAUAGAGAGAAUGUUGCUUGCUUAUACUAAAGUGGAAGGUCGGUGAAUUUGGAAUGCUUCUUACACAUGACAAACUUUAAUUGCUCCUUUGAAGAUGUUUUCAACCUAGCAACAAGAUUCUGUAAAUGUUCUACAAAGGCGAAUCUAAUUCUUUCUUUCUCUUAGGGGAAGAAAUGGUUGCAACUCUUCUGAAUGAUAAUUAUUGAUGGCCUAUGUAUAAACUUGCAGAAUGCCAAUGAGCUCUA